CCUGCAUCGGCAGGCGGACCCCCAACCACUGCGCCACCAGGGAAGCCCUCUUGCUCUGGAGGAAGUGGGCAACCGUGUCACGAGGACACACAUGCAACCCUGUGGAGAUGACUGUGUACAGAGGAACUAAGGCCUCCCACCAACAGCCAGCACCAGCUUACCAAGCAUGUGAGUGAGCCCCCUUGGAAGUGAAUGCUCCAGCCUGAGUUGAGCUUUGAGAUGACUGCAGUCCUGGCUGACAUCUUGAGUGCAACCUCAUGAGAAACCCUGAGCUACAACCACCCAGCCAAGCCAGCCCCAGAUUCUUGACCUACAGAAACUGCAAGAUAAUAAAUAUUUAUUGUUGUUUUACAUCACUAAGUCUAGAGUAAUUUUUUUUACACAGAAUUAGAGACUAAUACACUUUCUUUGUCUUAAAGUCUGUGAUCAUAAUUGCUAUUGUACUUACUAUUCUGUCAAAUGGGUAUCAGGUCUUCCAGAUCUCUUUAAAGGUGGUGGUUUGUUCUUUUUUUCUAGCUUCAUAUUAAUAGAUAAGAAUAUAGGGAUGUACAGCAAGGACUCUAGAGUCAGGCAGACAUUAAUUUAAGUACUGGUUUGGCCACCUGUGUGACUUUCAUGACGUUACUAAAUCAAACUCAAAUUUAUUAUGAGCAUUAAAGGAGCAAAUGCAUUUCAAGUGCUUAGGGUAGUUUAUGGCUUAUGGUAAGAGCUCAAUAACUGUGAUAGUUAUUAUGGUUAGUAACUGUAUAAAGAGAUGCUUCUAAGGGCCUUGCUUUACAAAGUAACUGAAGUAUGUUUUGUACCUUAAGUGGGGAAUUUGGUUUCCAUUAGAAUUAUUAAAUCAAUUUAUUGAGGUAUAAUUUGUAUACUGUAAAUGCACCCAUUUUAAGUGUACGAUUAAUGAUUUUUUUAAUUUACUGAGUUGUGCAACUAUGACCAUCAUCCAGUUUUAGGAUAUUUUUUCAUCAUCCCAAAAAGAAAUCUUGUGCCCAGUUGCAGUCAGCCCCAGGCAACCACUAAUCUACUUUCUGUCUCUAUAUAUUUGCCUUUUCUGGAUAUUUCACUUAAAUAGAGAUGUACAAUUUGUGGCCCCUGAUGUCUGGCUUAUUUCUCAUAGCAUGUUUCUGAGGUUCUUCUAUGUUGUAGCAAUUAUCAGAACUUCAUUUCUUUUUAUUGUCAAAUAAAAUUCCAUUGUUUGGAUAUACCACCUUUUGUUUAUCCAUUCAUCCAUUGAUGGA